GUACACACCGCCCGUCGCUACUACCGAUUGAAUGGCUUAGUGAGGCCUUUGGAUCUGCCACACGGCUAAAACUGUGUGGUGUGAGAAAUUGGACAAACUUGGUCAUUUAGAGGAAGUAAAAGUCGUAACAAGGUUUUCGUAGGUGAACCUGCAGAAGGAU
rnacentral:rRNA from 1 species